UUGAGUAGGGGGGUUGGACUAGACGAUCUCCAGAGGUCCCUUCCAACCUCAACCACUCUGUGAUUCUCACGUGAUUAGCAUAGUGCCGACAGCCUCAGAUCACACUGAGAUCAGAUCUCAGAUCUGAUCAAGCUGGACAGAUCUGAUCAAACUGAGAUUUCAGCAAAGAUAAUGGGAACUGGGCUGUAAGGUGAAGAGAAACAGAACUUGCCACAUAAAGGGGGAAAAGGUAAAAAACAUUAAAUGGUAUUGAUUAUUCCGGUACAGGCAGAUGUUAAGUGCACACCGCAGAUAAUUACGGCACAAUUAGUAUUAUAGGGCUGGUCUUUCACCUCAAUUAAAGGGAAACCUGGUGUAGGCAGUGUGAUAAAGAAGGGGACUGUUCUCUUUCCUUUCAUCUUAUGAAGUCCUUCUUUCUUUGCUUCCAUGGACUGUUUAGUCAGGUCAUUCACUUGCCUUGAGAUGAGUUGUUCACUCUUUCUGUCAUUCCUCCCAUAAAGCCUGUGUUUAACAAGAAGAGAAAGGGUAGACUCUGAAAACUAUGAAGAAAUCUCAGAGAGGGCAAAAAGGAACAAAUUAAAUCUCAAUUGCUAUUACUUACUGCAGCUCUUCUGACUUCAGUGGGCUUCUGCAGGCACUCUCUGCUAAUCUAUCCUUGUUUGUCCUUUAGAGUCAAAGUGAUCUCCCAGCAUCACUGAGUGACUCGUUGGAAGAAUUGGAAAGGGCCUGGAUGCUGUGACUUCUGCGCUAGCUCCUCAAAUCCCUGUUUAGCUCCUUCCCAAAUGAGCUUUGGAGACCCGCGCACCUGAAAAAGAUUCAUUUGGUGUGCGGCAGGAGUGAAUAAAUGGAAACUGAAAUCAAUGAAUGACUCCUUAUGAUGAGGGGUUAUCUAUACAUGGUAGGAAAAACACAACAAGUGCAAUAUGAUCUGAGGAACUGCCAGACUGUGGAGACAGAAGUGUGGACAGAUUUUGAGCUCCUGAAUUAUAACUGUGGCUUUGAGCAGCAGGAGCUGGACUGGAAAGAAGCUCAGAGAGUCUGGAAAUGUAGUGGAUGGGCAGCACGGUGAUCAACGACCCUACCACUCCGCUCUCUUGGGAAGAGUCGCCGAAAAGAAAGUGGAAGACAGGUGGUCUGGGGAAGAGAUCUCCAGCCAAUGUAGGAACGUGCUGCUCUCUCAGUUUUCAUCCAGUUACGAGCAGAGCCUGGGAACUCCCGCAGAAAUAGCUCGUGUUGGUUGUUGGUCAAAUUCUGCACUGUUGAGGGACCUCGACACUGGACGGGAGAUGGCUGGCCAAGGAGGGGGCUCAGUCUCAGGGAGUUGGCUGGUGCCGUGGAUGUUUGCUUUCCCUCUCCUGGACAGGCGGCGUGUUCCCACUGGUAUAGAAACUGCUGGAUGAAGCAAGACUGACAGCGAUCCAGGUCGUGGAACAUAAGUAGCAAAUGAUAUUUGGAUAGUUGCAAUUGUACAAACCCUGAAUUGAGCCUCAUCUUAUUCUGUAGCACUUGAGAGGGCUUUUUCAGACACUUUCCUGGGAUGAGUCCUGCUGCCUGUGCAGCUCAGAAGUGCAGACUUCACGGGGAGCGGCUUCAUGAAGCCUGCACCAAGUGCAGUCAAGAAUUAAAAUUUUUGAACUGAACUGGAGCUGGAAAAUGAACUUGCUAGCUGAAGAGCUGAUGGCUGCAAUUCCUUCACGCUGUUGAAAUCCUGUUCAACUUUUCCCUUUUAUUUCUUCCCAAAGAUCUGUAUUUAUUUCUGCCCGCAGCUGGGGAACUGCUGGCUCCACCGAUUCAUCACUUAUGGGAGCAUUUGGUAUAGGAAAUGAACGCUGUGAAGGCAAUGAAGGACCCAGUAAAUAGGAUCAGUAGUAUUCAAAAAUGCUUUAAGCUGUAUUUUAGGGGAAACGCUUCCUGGGGAACACCUGUUUCUGGAGGUAAGCCAAUUUGCUGCUCAUGCACAGGAAGGUACUUAUUUUCCUAAUCGACUUCAGCAGUACAG